rnacentral:tRNA from 4 species
GCCCGCGUGGGGUAGCUUGGAUAUCCUGUGAGAUUGCGGAUCUUUUGACCCGGGUUCGAAUCCCGGCGCGGGCACCA